rnacentral:lncRNA from 1 species
GGGGAGGGAAGCGAGGCGGCGGGGGGCGGAGCAGAGGGCGUGGCGGAGCGAGCGCUGGGUCACGUGACGUGCGUGGCGACGUGUCGGCCAUCUUGUGUUGUUGAGGCUGAGGAUUGACUUGGGUUCUGAGAGUCUCCCUGUCCCGGACCGCAGUGUUAAAAGGACCCGAACAAAGUCUGCUCACACCUCCUGCUGUGAACCAGCAGAACUUUUGAACAGGUUUCUCCAUAUACAAAAAUUUAUUGUAAAAAUACAGAAAACAAUGGCAGCAGAAACACAGACGCUGAACUUUGGGCCUGAAUGGUGAGUUUUCAAAACCUGCAUAUGGAUGACUAGUACAGAAGUAAGGUAUUUGUAGGGAUGCUGGGGGGUUUAUAAAUGUUUAUAUUUUCGAGACUUUAUUUAAUGUGCCUCAUUGAAAACAAUGAGGCUAGUCCAGGAAUAAAGGCUCUUUGGUAAAUGACUGCAUUUUGUACUUAAUUUUAAAAAAACUUCUUGGUUAGGUUAUAUAACAGUAAUGGAAUUAACUCCCCACAGUUUCACCACCUU